rnacentral:rRNA from 1 species
GACGAACGCUGGCGGCGUGCUUAACACAUGCAAGUCGAACGAAGUGGCGAACGGGUGAGUAACGCGUAAUCAACCUGCCCUUCAGAGGGGGACAACAGUUGGAAACGACUGCUAAUACCGCAUACUGAAGGAGGGGAUUGCGUCUGAUUAGCUAGGUGGAGGGGUAACGGCCCACCAAGGCGAUGAGCAGUAGCCGGGCUGGUAGGGUGAACGGCCACAUUGGGACUGAGACACGGCCCAGACUCCUACGGGGGGCAGCAGUGGGGAAUCUUCCGCAAUGGACGAAAGUCUGACGGAGCAACGCCGGGUGAGGGAUGACGGCCUUCGGGUUGUAAAGCUCUGUUAAUCGGGACGCGGUACCGGAAGAGAAAGCCACGGCUAACUACGUGCCAGCAGCCGCGGUAAUAC